GUUAUCGUUUUGUAACGCUUCUUCGGCUUCUUUCCCAAGCGCUGUUCUUGCCGCGCAAGCUAGGAUUUUCUUUUCCCUUGAAUGUAGUAUUUAUAUCUCAAUUCUCUCAUUUGGUUCAGCAUUUUUCAAGUUGAUUUGGGUUUGCUUUUUUGUUAAGGUUGUAGCCAAGCGGAUGGGAUCCCAGAAAAACCGAGCUGAAACUCAAACCGCAUAAUCUGAAUCUGCUCCAGGUUCGACUUCUUUACGUCAAGGUUGAAAUCUGAGAAGGGAUGGUUGUGGCUAAUAAUAAUAAUAAUAAAGUGGAUUUCAGUGAGUUUUUUAUUGAUGCUCCCAUUAAUGAACACAGUGAUUGUUGCAAGUAAAAUUUACAAAAGGUGAUUGACAGAUGGGACGACUGGAAUUGCAAAUGAUAAAUUGGCAAUGAUAAAAGUAUUUUCUCUUUUGGGAAGAAAGAUUAUAUCUGGACGCAAUAAACCUGGGAGUUCUCCCUGUUCCUUUCUCAGAAUAGCCGGAAAAUAGAAAAUCUUUCCCAUGCUUUAUUCUUUGGGACUUGAAAGUUGGGUGCAACAGUUUUUCAGGGAACUGUUAAAUAACUGGGUUUUUUCCCCUUUUUUCUUAGGCAUUGCAGUAAGAAUUACUCUUUUUUUUUUUUACAAAAAAGCUGGAAUUUGAGAAUAAAGAAAAAGAAUUGUCUGAUUGAAUUUUGAAUUUUAUGGAUUGAAUCUCAUCUCAUGCAUAAAUCAACUGAGUUAAUUUUAAAUUCAAUUAUCUCUUUUUUAUGUAUGAUUUUGUUCUAUUCAUCCCAUUUGCAGCCAAAAUUAUAAUUCUCUUUCGUCUGUCUUGCCUGCUGAACUGUAACUUUGAGGUUAAUUUAAACGCAAUGGAGGGUAGUACAAAUUUCUUGACUUCUAUACUAGAUGAGAAGGAUUGGUAUGUUGGGAAAAUGCUUCUUAUUUAGUGUGAAAAGCAACAAAUAAAAUCAGUUGUAUGACAUUAAAACAAAAAAAAAAGGUGAUAGUCAGAUUUAUCAUUUAUCAUAGUGUCGAUAUACGGGGUUGGUAGGUAAGAACAUUACAUCAAGGAAGAAAAAGGACAACAAAGAAUGUAAAGGAAGAUAAAUGGCUGUCUCUUCUGUCGCAUUUGUUUGAAAUCCGAUCUACAAGUUUCGAACAUAGUUUUGAUAUCAGUUGUUAAAAUUACGAUGACUCUAGGUUAUUAGACAAAAAUUCUGGCGAGUGAUUUGUAAGCUUAAAGCCGGUUUCUCUACAAAACGGUUGUUUUCUAUAGAGAGGAAAGACAAGUAGAAUUGUAGGCAUCAUGGCGAGCAAAGAGCUGAGAGAAAAAUACAGCAACUGCUUUCUGAGAUGCCAAGUUUGUUAUCAGAUCAUCUUUUUCCUGUUUCAGGCAGACAAAUAUUCGAGGUCUCUGCUACGGCCAUGAAACCUCGGCUAUUGGUGUCUGAAGAUGACCUUUUAGUUUAGGGUUUUCUAACAACUGCCCUCCCAUUUAUUCAACUCUCUGCCAAAACAUUUUUCUAGCGGCAUUAUAUUGUUGGGCCCUAGGCUGAUGAUUUUUUUUCCCCCAAAAAAUGCUGACAUAAAUAAGCUUCAAAUUCUAUUUCUAGGUCACUUCAGUUGAGCUCAAGCAUAUUGGAUUCUCUUUUUUUUGGCAAAUAAAAAAGAAGAUUACAAGGAUUUGCA